ACGACGGGGCGCGCGCGCGCACAUUGCAAAACGCACGGUACACGCGGUUUUCCGUAUUAAACCUUUUCCACAAAUCCGACACCGUACAAAAUACCUGCCGAUAUUCUCGAAAGCCUUCUCUCGCCGGUUUUUGGUUUUUGGUUUUUUUUUUCAGUUUUUCCGUUUUUCGAUUUUCACCCGUCGUAUCGCGGCGUCACUACUCUCGUACGAUAACACUAUCAACCGAACGCGCCCGUGGAAGAAGAAGAAGAAGUGCUCGUAUAACAGCCGAUGUCACCGACGUUCGGAUUAUAUCGCGUUGAAUUUCGCGCCGCCGACGCCCGUCCGUUAUUCACCGAUCAAUCGCCGUCAAUUAGUUAUAUUAAUGCGCCGGGACG